rnacentral:misc_RNA from 1 species
AAGUCGUAACAAGGUAACCGUAGGUGAACCUGCGGUUGGAUCAUUAAUAAAAUUAAAUAGAAGAACUCCUAAAAAGAGAUCUAUCUAUCACAUCUUGUGUGUUAAUUUAGUUUUCGUUAAACUUUAUUAUGCACACCAGAAUAACUUUUAUAAACUUUUGUUUAAACUUUUAAGCCUAAAAAGAAUUCAUUAUAAAAAGUAAAAACAACUUUUGACAACGGAUCUCUAGGCUCUC